CCUACGGGAGGCAGCAGUGAGGAAUAUUGGUCAAUGGACGAGAGCCUGAACCAGCCAAGUAGCGUGAAGGAUGACUGCCCUAUGGUUUGUAAACUUCUUUUAUAAGGGAAUAAAACGAGGCACGUGUGCUGUUUUGCAUGUACUUUAUGAAUAAGGAUCGGCUAACUCCGUGCCAGCAGCCGCGGUAAUACGGAGGAUCCGAGCGUUAUCCGGAUUUAUUGGGUUUAAAGGGAGCGUAGGUGGGUUGUUAAGUCAGUGGUGAAAGUCUGCGGCUCAACCAUAGAAUUGCAAUUGAUACUGGCAGUCUUGAGUACAGUUGAGGGAGGCGGAAUUCGUGGUGUAGCGGUGAAAUGCUUAGAUAUCACGAAGAACCCCGAUUGCGAAGGCAGCCUACUAAACUGUGACUGACAUUGAUGCUCGAAAGUGUGGGUAUCGAACAGGAUUAGAUACCCCUGUAGUC
rnacentral:rRNA from 1 species